UACGAAGGGGGCUAGCGUUGUUCGGAUUUACUGGGCGUAAAGCGCACGUAGGCGGAUCGUUAAGUCAGGGGGUGAAAAUCCUGGAGCUCAACUCCAGAACUGCCUUUGAUACUGGCGAUCUUGAGUCCGGAGGAGGUGAGUGGAACUCCUAGUGUAGAGGUGGAAUUCGUAGAUAUUAGGAAGAACACCAGUGGCGAAGGCGGCUCACUGGUCCGGUACUGACGCUGAGGUGCGAAAGCGUGGGGAGCAAACAGGG
rnacentral:rRNA from 1 species